GGGGAAUAUUGGACAAUGGGGGAAACCCUGAUCCAGCAAUGCCGCGUGAGUGAAGAAGGCCUUAGGGUUGUAAGGCUCUUUCGCCCGCGAAGAUAAUGACGGUAGCGGGAGAAGAAGCCCCGGCUAACUCCGUGCCAGCAGCCGCGGUAAUACGGAGGGGGCUAGCGUUGUUAGGAAUUACUGGGCGUAAAGCGUACGUAGGCGGAUGCGCAAGUUGGGGGUGAAAUCCCGGGGCUUAACCUCGGAAUUGCCCUCAAAACUGCACGUCUUGAGACCGAGAGAGGUAAGGGGAAUUCCUAGUGUAGAGGUGAAAUUCGUAGAUAUUAGGAAGAACACCAGUGGCGAAGGCGCCUUACUGGCUCGGUACUGACGCUGAGGUACGAAAGCGUGGGGAGCAAACA
rnacentral:rRNA from 1 species